UACGUAGGCAGCGAGCGUUUGUUCGGAAUUACUGGGCGUAAAGAGUGUGUAGGCGGUGCUCUAAGUUCGGUGUGAAAUCUCCUGGCUCAACUGGGAGGGUGCGCCGGGAAACUGGAGUGCUUGAGCGUGGGAGAGGAAAGCGGAAUUCCUGGUGUAGCGGUGAAAUGCGUAGAUAUCAGGAGGAACACCUGUGGUGUAGACGGCUUUCUGGACCAUAGCUGACGCUGAGACACGAAAGCGUGGGUAGCAAACAGGG
rnacentral:rRNA from 1 species